UAAGGAAUAUUGGGCAAUGGACGCAAGUCUGACCCAGCCAUGCCGCGUGAAGGAUGAAGGCCCUAUGGGUCGUAAACUUCUUUUAUACGGGAAAAAACCACCGGUCGUGUAUCGGUGCUGAUGGUACCGUAAGAAUAAGCAUCGGCUAACUCCGUGCCAGCAGCCGCGGUAAUACGGAGGAUGCAAGCGUUAUCCGGAUUCAUUGGGUUUAAAGGGUGCGCAGGCGGAUUAAUAAGUCAGUGGUGAAGUCCUACGGCUCAACUGUAGAACUGCCAUUGAUACUGUUAGUCUUGAGUAUUGUUGAGGUAGGCGGAAUGUGUCAUGUAGCGGUGAAAUGCUUAGAUAUGACACAGAACACCAAUCGCGAAGGCAGCUUACCAAGCAAUAACUGACGCUCAUGCACGAAAGCGUGGGGAUCAAACAG
rnacentral:rRNA from 1 species